UUUGAUGUAUAAUGUCCAAUA
ensembl:piRNA 21ur-2852 ncRNA